UACGUAGGGUGCAAGCGUUGUCCGGAAUUAUUGGGCGUAAAGAGCUCGUAGGCGGCUCGUCGCGUCUGCUGUGAAAACCCGAGGCUCAACCUCGGGCCUGCAGUGGGUACGGGCAGACUAGAGUGCGGUAGGGGGAGAUUGGAAUUCCUGGUGUAGCGGUGGAAUGCGCAGAUAUCAGGAGGAACACCAAUGGCGAAGGCAGAUCUCUGGGCCGUAACUGACGCUGAGGAGCGAAAGCAUGGGGAGCGAACAGG
rnacentral:rRNA from 1 species